rnacentral:miRNA from 1 species
CUCCUGUGACAGCGAGUUCCACAGGUUAUUUUUUUAAAAAAGAAAUGAUUAUUCUAAUAAUAAUAAUAAUUUUUUUAAAAAAAUCUGUGGAACUCGCUGUCACAGGAA